CCUACGGGAGGCAGCAGUGGGGAAUCUUAGACAAUGGGCGCAAGCCUGAUCUAGCCAUGCCGCGUGUGUGAUGAAGGCCCUAGGGUCGUAAAGCACUUUCGCCAGGGAUGAUAAUGACAGUACCUGGUAAAGAAACCCCGGCUAACUCCGUGCCAGCAGCCGCGGUAAUACGGAGGGGGUUAGCGUUGUUCGGAAUUACUGGGCGUAAAGCGUACGUAGGCGGAUCAGAAAGUUGGGGGUGAAAUCCCAGGGCUCAACCCUGGAACUGCCUCCAAAACUCCUGGUCUUGAGUUCGAGAGAGGUGAGUGGAAUUCCAAGUGUAGAGGUGAAAUUCGUAGAUAUUUGGAGGAACACCAGUGGCGAAGGCGGCUCACUGGCUCGAUACUGACGCUGAGGUACGAAAGUGUGGGGAGCAAACAGGAUUAGAUACCCUGGUAGUCCACACCGUAAACGAUGAAUGCCAGUCGUCGGGCAGUAUACUGUUCGGUGACACACCUAACGGAUUAAGCAUUCCGCCUGGGGAGUACGGUCGCAAGAUUAAAACUCAAAUGAAUUGACGGA
rnacentral:rRNA from 1 species